rnacentral:rRNA from 1 species
UGCCAGCCGCCGCGGUAAUACGGAGGGUGCAAGCGUUAAUCGGAAUUACUGGGCGUAAAGGGCGCGUAGGCGGCUUAGUCAGUCGGAUGUGAAAGCCCCGGGCUUAACCUGGGAACUGCAUUCGAUACUGCUGAGCUAGAGUAUGGAAGAGGGAAGUGGAAUUCCGGGUGUAGCGGUGAAAUGCGUAGAUAUCCGGAGGAACACCAGUGGCGAAGGCGACUUCCUGGUCCAAUACUGACGCUGAUGUGCGAAAGCGUGGGGAGCAAACAGGAUUAGAUA